AUUGAACGCUGGCGGCAGGCCUAACACAUGCAAGUCGAACGAGUGGCGGACGGGUGAGUAAUGUCUGGGAAACUGCCUGAUGGAGGGGGAUAACUACUGGAAACGGUAGCUAAUACCGCAUACCAUCAGAUGUGCCCAGAUGGGAUUAGCUGGUUGGUGGGGUAACGGCUCACCAAGGCGACGAUCCCUAGCUGGUCUGAGAGGAUGACCAGCCCCACUGGAACGGAGACAGGGCCCAGACCCCGACGGGAGGAAGCAGUGGGGAAUAUUGGCCAAUGGGGGAAAGCCUGAUGCAGCCAUGCCGGGGGUAUGAAGAAGGCCUUCGGGUUGUAAAGUCCUUUCAGCGGGGAGGCGUUACCCGCAGAAGAAGCACCGGCUAACUCCGUGCCAGCAGCCGCGGUAAUAC
rnacentral:rRNA from 1 species